GAACAUGUUUAUAAAUCAUUCCUAGACAUUUUGAAUAUGUAUCGGAAGGAACACAAGGACAUAGAUGAGGUCUACAGUGAGGUUUCUAGUGUUUUUGAGGAACACCAAGAUUUGCUUGAUGAGUUCACUAGAUUUUUACCAGAUGCUUCAGUGACGCCUAUGAUUCAAAAUGCUCCAUAUGGCCGAAGUUCCAUUCAGCGUUACAAUGA
rnacentral:misc_RNA from 1 species